rnacentral:rRNA from 1 species
UGGGGAAUAUUGGACAAUGGAGGGAACUCUGAUCCAGCAAUUCUGUGUGUGUGAAGAAGGUUUUAGGACUGUAAAACACUUUUAGUAGGGAAGAAAAAAAUGACGGUACCUACAGAAGAAGCAACGGCUAAAUACGUGCCAGCAGCCGCGGUAAUACGUAUGUUGCGAGCGUUAUCCGGAAUUAUUGGGCUUAAAGGGCAUCUAGGCGGUAAGACAAGUUGAAGGUGAAAACCUGUGGCUCAACCAUAGGCUUGCCUACAAAACUGUUGAACUAGAGUACUGGAAAGGUGGGUGGAACUACACGAGUAGAGGUGAAAUGCGUAGAUAUGUGUAGGAAUGCCGAUGAUGAAGAUAACUCACUGGACAGAAACUGACGCUGAAGUGCGAAAGCUAGGGGAGCAAACAGG